UUCCGGUUGAUCCCGCCGGACCUGACUGCUAUCGGAUUGAUACUAAGCCAUGCGAGUCAUUGUAGCAAUACAAGGCAGACGGCUCAGUAACGCGUAGUCAACCCAACCUAUGGACGGGAAUAACCUCGGGAAACUGAGAAUAAUGCCCGAUAGAACACUAUACCUGGAAUGGUUUGUGUUCCAAAUGAUUUAUCGCCGUAGGAUGGGACUGCGGCCUAUCAGUUUGUUGGUGAGGUAAUGGCCCACCAAGACUAUUACAGGUACGGGCUCUGAGAGGAGUAGCCCGGAGAUGGGUACUGAGACACGGACCCAGGCCCUAUGGGGCGCAGCAGGCGAGAAAACUUUGCAAUGUGCAAAAGCACGACAAGGUUAAUCCGAGUGGUUUCUGCUAAAGGAACCUUUUGUUAGUCAUAGAACCACUAAUGAAUAAGGGGUGGGCAAGUUCUGGUGUCAGCCGCCGCGGUAAAACCAGCACCUCAAGUGGUCAGGAUGAUUAUUGGGCCUAAAGCAUCCGUAGCCUGCUUUGUUAGUUUUCGGUUAAAUCCAUACGCUCAACGUAUGGGCUGCCGGGAAUACUGCAAAGCUAGGGAGUGGGAGAGGUAGACGGUACUCGGUAGGAAGGGGUAAAAUCCUUUGAUCUAUUGAUGACCACCUGUGGCGAAGGCGGUCUACCAGAACACGUCCGACGGUGAGGGAUGAAAGCUGGGGGAGCAAACCGGAUUAGAUACCCGGGUAGUCCCAGCUGUAAACUAUGCAAACUCGGUGAUGCAUUGGCUUGAUGCCAAUGCAGUGCCGCAGGGAAGCCGUUAAGUUUGCCGCCUGGGAAGUACGUACGCAAGUAUGAAACUUAAAGGAAUUGGCGGGGGAGCACCACAAGGGGUGAAGCCUGCGGUUCAAUUGGAGUCAACGCCGGAA
rnacentral:rRNA from 1 species